AACGCGGCCUUUGGGCCAGGAGCUGGGACAAUGCCCUUGGCUCGGCAGCAGCGCCGGGAGGCAGCGGGCGGUGCCCUCAGGGCAGGAAAAAUCAUCAAACUCCUCCCAUCUUUGCCAAAAGCUUUGGUGUUUAAGCAGCCAAAGGCAAGAGGCCUCAGCACCAGGGGUCUGCACUGGAGGGCUCUGGUCCUGCCCAUGCUGUGGGGUGAGUCAGAGGGACACAGGGCUCCUCUUUUCCUCUCUGCUGGGAUUAACUGCCAUGGGAAUGCCAUUGCUGACAGCCCAGCCCCAGCUGUGUCUGCUGGAGAAGGGCAGAGGUGAAGAGACAAAUGCCAGAGUUCCCUGGGGAUGCUGGAGUUGUGGUGUUGGCUGUGCCCUGAGGGGCAGGUUGGGCAUUAUCUGUGCACCCAAGGA